AUUUCACGUUUUUCUUAACAAGUUAAAACAAUUAUUACCAGCGAAAAAACUCAUUUUUUCACAUUUUUCUUCGAUUUGUUCAUUUUAGACAUUUAUGAGUACUCUAUCCCUUAUCUCAAGAAAACAAAAUUUGAUUGGAAUCUUUGUUGCAUACUGAUCUUAUUUUUAAUUACAUUAAAAAUUCUGUUAAAUGAGAAAUUAUAUGUUUUUGAACAGAGCAUUAUUAAGAGAAGAUAUUUAAAGUGAUCUAACAAUGUGCAUUGACAGGUAGUGGAGAAAUGAGGUGCUCUAUUCCUACAUUAGAGAUAAGAGAUUCAGUGCUUUGUCCUAACUUCUAAGUCCCCAUCAAGCCACUUGGAUGGCAUGCAUCUCUCUUAAUUUAUUUAUUAUUAUUAUUAUUAUUAUUUCUUGUUUGUUUUAUUUAAAUGGGAAGGAUUUAUUUUUUAAUGGUUUUUGUUGGUUUACAAGCAUCAAAUGGAGCGUUUUGGCCCAAAAUGAGACUUGAUCUUCUGGACAUCAUCUUAGCAAAGGUUACAAAUAAAAAAAAUCAAUGCUCUUCAAGUUCCCAAAAGAAGAGAAAUUGUUUAGUUGAGCUAAUGAUUUCUUGACUAAAUUCAUUAUGAAGUUGAACUAAGUUUAUUGUAGAUUAUAUUCAUUUUACCAAUUUUUGCACUAGUGUUUGUUUUUA